UACAGAGGGUGCGAGCGUUAAUCGGAAUUACUGGGCGUAAAGCGCGCGUAGACGGUUAUUUAAGUCGGGUGUGAAAGCCCCGGGCUCAACCUGGGAAUUGCAUUCGAGACUGAAUAGCUAGGGUACGGUAGAGGGAAGCGGAAUUUCCGGUGUAGCGGUGAAAUGCGUAGAGAUCGGGAGGAAGGCCGGUGGCGAAGGCGGCGCUCUGGAACAUUUCUGACGCUGAGGCUCGAAAGCGUGGGGAGCAAACAGG
rnacentral:rRNA from 1 species